rnacentral:lncRNA from 1 species
ACUGCUGUUGGCAGCUCCUAGGGCAACAACAGAACCUCCCAGCCUCCCUUCACUGGGGGAGAAGCAUGAGCUGAAAACAAAAGAAGGGAUUAGAGCCCAGAUGGAGCGGCCUGAGCUCGGGGCGGGGUCCCCAGGGGCACCCCCCUCGUCCUCGGCCCUUCAGCUCCUUGCCCUCGGCCGUCUCUGGGCGUCACCAGCCAGCAGCUGCCUUGCUGGCCAGCGGUUUCUGUUGCAGGAGCCUCUUGUGCUCGGGGGCUGGCCACAGGGCCUCCGCUGUCCCUCAUAAUGUGUUUCAAGUGAUUUUGCUUUUGAGGAACCUGCCCGCCCAGGACUUCAAGGGCCUCUGCUGACCCAUGCACGUCCCAAGGCCUCCGCCGCAGCCCCAUUCGCCACACGGCCCCUGGCUCCUGCCCACUUAUGGCUGGUCCUGGGCUCCCGUGGCCAAGGAGAGUUGGGCAGACGUUGGCAGAUGUGUCUCCUUUGUCCCUGGAGUGAUUCCAGGCUCGGCUGAAACUCUGAAAGGCGAGCCCAGCCAGAGGUGCCUCGGAGGCCCAAGUGUGCAGCCUGUCAUUCCCCAGCAGUGACUCCACAGGCCUCCAGUGCACAUCAUCUCCUCAUACGUCCCCCAAGGACCCUGGGCUACCGAGGGAACACUAGCUCAUAGCUUGUGACUUCAGCACUGUAUGGAAGAGAACAGGAGCAGACCCGUCUCACUGUUGGGGCAGCU